rnacentral:rRNA from 1 species
GACAGAGGGGGCAAGCGUUGCUCGGAAUCACUGGGCGUAAAGGGCGCGUAGGCGGGAUGGCAAGUCGGUCGUGAAAUCCUUCGGCUCAACCGAAGAACGUCGGCCGAUACUGCCGUUCUUGAGGGAUGCAGAGGAGAUUGGAAUUCCCUGUGUAGCGGUGAAAUGCGUAGAGAUGGGGGAGAACACUCGUGGCGAAGGCGGCCAGCUAGACCAGUUCUGACACUGAGGCGCGACAGCGUGGGGAGCAAACAGG